AUGGACACCGAAUGGGAACUAAAAUUUCCUCUGGUAACCGUGCGAGCCCUAGAGCGUAUCGAGGCGUUAUCGGAUCAUGCACCCAUAAUUCCGGAUUCUAACUCUACGAAGCCAAACGUCCGUCGCCCUUUCAAAUUUGAAUUGGGAUGGCUGCAUCGGGAUGGAUUUGUAGACAUAAUCAAGAAUGUUUGGGAGAAGCCCGCUGUUGGUCGUACGCCUAUUCAGAGAUGGAACUUUAAAAUAAGGGCCAUGAGGAAACACCUCACUAGAUGGGCGAAAUACAUCAACGGGAUAUAUAAAAAAGAAAAACAAAGACUCUCUACAUUAUUGACGACCUCGACAAAAUUGCAGAGACGCGCACCUUAUCUCAACAAGAGAUUGAGCUAA
rnacentral:rRNA from 1 species